ACCUGCGGAGGGAUCAUUACUGAGUUUACGCUCUAUAACCCUUUGUGAACAUACCUAUAACUGUUGCUUCGGCGGGUAGGGUCUCCGCGACCCUCCCGGCCUCCCGCCUCCGGGCGGGUCGGCGCCCGCCGGAGGAUAACCAAACUCUGAUUUAACGACGUUUCUUCUGAGUGGUACAAGCAAAUAAUCAAAACUUUUAACAACGGAUCUCUUGGUUCUGGCAUCGAUGAAGAACGCAGCGAAAUGCGAUAAGUAAUGUGAAUUGCAGAAUUCAGUGAAUCAUCGAAUCUUUGAACGCACAUUGCGCCCGCCAGCAUUCUGGCGGGCAUGCCUGUUCGAGCGUCAUUUCAACCCUCAAGCUCUGCUUGGUGUUGGGGCCCUACAGCUGAUGUAGGCCCUCAAAGGUAGUGGCGGACCCUCCCGGAGCCUCCUUUGCGUAGUAACUUUACGUCUCGCACUGGGAUCCGGAGGGACUCUUGCCGUAAAACCCCCCAAUUUUCCAAAGGUUGACCUCGGAUCAGGUAGGAAUACCCGCUGAACUUAAGCAUAU
rnacentral:rRNA from 1 species